GGGGGGCAUGUGGCUUAUUCGACGCAACGCGAAGAACCUUACCAAGGCUUGACAUACACCGGAAAGCGCCAGAGAUGGUGCCCCCCUUGUGGUCGGUGUACAGGUGGUGCAUGGCUGUCGUCAGCUCGUGUCGUGAGAUGUUGGGUUAAGUCCCGCAACGAGCGCAACCCUUGUUCUGUGUUGCCAGCAUGCCCUUCGGGGUGAUGGGGACUCACAGGAGACUGCCGGGGUCACUUCGGAGGAAGA
rnacentral:rRNA from 1 species